GGUCAGACUUCUGCUCUCUUCUGAAACGAAAAAAUGAGUCGUUAUUUUUUAAUGGGCCUUAAAAACGGGUAUGGACAACAAACAAAAACAGCCAAGGCAAAUUGCAAGGUUCGUACGAACCUUACCUCGGCGUUGUUGACAAACAAUAUACCUUGAAGUCAAAAGGGUGACUUUAUCCUUUUAUCCUCUUUUUUCUCGUUUUUAUAAGCAAAAAUUCCAUGUAGGUAACAAAAGGGGUUGAUGAAUUAUUCGUCUAAUAAUUUUAAUGUGUCAUAUUGAUAAAUCGUUCACUCUUUCUUGCGACGAAAAAUUGAGUCGUAAUUUAAAAUGGGCUAUAAAAAAGGGUAAGGACAAGGGGCAAAAACAGCCAAGACAAAUGUCGAGGUUCGCGUGUGAUGAAAAUAUUAAGCAAAAGUGGAUUUCAGCUUGCAUGCGGUUGCAUUUUCAGGGCCGUUUUGCCUGCUGUUCAUACCCUUUUUUUUCUUCCAUUAUGUGUAUAUAUAUACUGAAUAUAUACUGAAAAUAUACUGAAUGCGAGUACGCGUUGACAAUAAAUCGAAAACUAUAGAGGUGCUACCGUUAAAAUCGUUAAAAGUCAAACCCAAACACACAGACAACGCGAAGACCACGAAGCAAGUGGAUAGUGGAGUAGGCAAAAGUGAAAGAGAAAAUAGAGAGAACGCGAAACGUAACGCAACAAGGCAAUAAACAGUGAGUAAAGCAACCGCUGAAACGACGUGCGACGCGUCGAAAUGUGAGUUCCUGCGUGUUUGUGUGUGUGUGUGUGCAUGUGUGUGUUGGUGCGCUGAAAGUGCAGCUGUCGCUUGAAACAAAUAAAACCGCACAAUUUCCAUAUAAAAAGACAUUGCAAGACGCAGCUUGCCAGCAAUAUAUCAAUAAAUCGGUAGUGCGAGAAAACAGCGAAAACCGAAGGCGAGGAGCAAGCGCGACAAGAAAAAAUAAAAUGCAUGUAGAAUAAUUUUAACGCCCAAAAGUCUCCGGUCUGUCGGCGACGCUGACGCUGAUGUCGAUGCCAACGCCGACGCCGCUUGUUGAAACAAAUGCAUCGAAAUACGUGCAUUUCGGUGAAAAUUGAGUUGAAUAUGCACAAAUGCAGUGCUGACAAAGUGAAACGAGAGAAUAAAAAACAAUAUUAAUGUGCAAAAUAUGCGGAAAACUGCUUUGAAAUGUGGAGAGCGCAGAACAGCGAAAAGUGUGUAUUAAAAAACCUCAAUAGCACCCACAUUACGACGAGAAAACUCAAUACGACAAAACCAUAGUUGAAUUGAGUGAGAAUAAUAUAUAUAUAUAUAUAUAUAUAUAUAUAUAGAGAGAGAGAGAGAGAGUAAAUACACCGCUACAAUGUCGGAAGAAGUAGAUCGCAACGAUCCCGAGCUGAAAUACCUUUCGGUGGAACGGAACCAAUACAAUGAUCCGGCCACACAGGCGGAAUGGACACAGAAGCGCCUGGUCUGGGUGCCCCACGAGAAUCAACAGAGACUAAAUUUUUGCCUGGGAUGACAAACAUUUUCUCAAUUCUAUAAUAUCCUUUCCUAGGGUAUGCAUUGUUGCUUGCAUUUUUCCGCAACAUGGAACGCGAUUAUUGCUUUCCGCCAAUGAAAAUUAUGGCAGGAAACGGCUGCGACAGAAUGUCAGGAUGCGUCGUGUUAAUAUUCCCCAAUAAUUGGUAAUAUUCACCCUAAGUCGAUGUCCAAAUAUAGUAAUUUAAGAACAUAAUUUAAAAGUAUGGAAUGGGACUCAUUGUUGUCAACCGGUUAUUACCGAUUCAAAUAAAUACUGAAAUAUACGGUAUUAUUUUCAAAAUAUACCGACGUAUUUUUGAUAUUCUGGCGAAUAUUACUAGCUAAAUAGAACACUCAGGCCUGCCC